rnacentral:rRNA from 1 species
UACGUAGGUGGCAAGCGUUGUCCGGAGUUACUGGGCGUAAAGGGUGCGCAGGCGGCCUGGCGCGUCGCGAGUGAAAUCUCCUGGCUCAACUGGGAGGGUGGUCGCGAGACGGCUGGGCUUGAGGCUCGGUGAGGGGCGUGGAAUUCCGGGUGGAGCGGUGAAAUGCGUAGAGAUCCGGAGGAACACCGACGGCGUAGGCAGCGCCCUAGACGAGACCUGACGCUCAGGCACGAAAGCGCGGGGAGCGAACAGG